UACGGAGGGGACUAGCGUUGUUCGGAAUUACUGGGCGUAAAGCGCACGUAGGCGGAUUUGUAAGUCAGGGGUGAAAUCCCGGGGGCUCAACCUCGGAACUGCCUUUGAUACUGCGGGUCUCGAGUCCGGGAGAGGUGAGUGGAAUUCCCUAGUGUAGAGGUGAAAUUCGUAGAUAUUCGCAAGAACACCAGUGGCGAAGGCGGCUCACUGGCCCGAUACUGACGCUGAGGCACGAAAGCGUGGGGAGCAAACAGG
rnacentral:rRNA from 1 species